rnacentral:rRNA from 1 species
CCGACGGUGAGGGGUGAAGGCUGGGGGCGCAAACCGGAUUAGAUACCCGGGUAGUCCCAGCAGUAAACGAUGCCAGCUAUGUGUUGCCGGAACCAUGGGUUCCAGCAGUGCCGAAGGGAAGCCGUGAAGCUGGCCACCUGGGAAGUACGGUCGCAAGGCUGAAACUUAAAGGAAUUGGCGGGGGAGUACCACAACCGGUGGAGCCUGCGGUUUAAUUGGAUACAACGCCGGGAAUCUUACCGGAGGGGACAGCAGUAUGAAGGCCAGGCUAAAGACCUUGCCAGAUCAGCUGAGAGGAGGUGCAUGGCCGUCGCCAGUUCGUACCGUGAGGCAUCCUGUUUAGUCAGGCAACGAUCGAGACCCGCAGUCUUAUUUGCCAGCAUGCCCUUUGGGGUGUAUGGGUACAAUAAGACGACCGCCAGCGCUAAGCUGGAGGAAGGAGCGGGCUACGGUAGGUCAGCAUGCCCCGAAUCCUCCGGGAUACACGCGGGCUACAAUGGUCAGGACAAAAGGUACCGACCUCGAAAGAGUGAGGUAAUCCACAAACCUGAUCUCAGUCCGGAUCGAAGGCUGCAACUCGCCCUUCGUGAAGAUGGAAUCGGUAGUAAUCGUGACUCAAAAUGUCACGGUGAAUAUGUCCCUGCUCCUU